AUUCUUUCAACUAUUAACAGUUUGUUUGAUCCGUUGGGUUUUAUUUCGCCGCUAGUCAUCAGUGGGAAAAUUCUACUUCGAGAAGUUGUUCCACCAGGAACUGAUUGGGAUGAUCCGCUGUCUACUGAUCAUGCAACAAAAUGGAAAAACUGGUUGAAGUCUUUGAAAUCUGUUAGUUGUUUUCAAAUACCGCGUAUGAUUGUUCCUGUAUCUAUUUCUUUGACACGCCAAGUUGAUAUCCACAUUUUUUCUGAUGCUUCAGAACAAGCAAUCUCUGCUGUGGCUUAUCUAGAGGCAAUUGAUGAAACUGGUUCAGCGUUUAUAGGUUUUCUUACUGGAAAGUCUAAACUUGCACCUAUCAAAGGUCAUACUAUUCCUAGAUUGGAACUGUGCGGUGCCGUGUUGGCUACGGAAGUUGGAGAAGCGAUAUGUCAUCAUAUGAAUCGGUCUCCGAGUGUUUGUCAUUACUAUACAGACAGUCGAGUAGUGUUAGGAUAUAUAUGUAAUACCACCCGUCGAUUCUUCACAUAUGUCAGUAAUCGUGUGGAAAAGAUUCAUAAAGUGUCGGAACCUUCACAGUGGUCAUAUGUAUCAACGGAUAGAAACCCAGCUGACUUAGGGACUAGAUUUAUUAGCUCUCCAGACAUGCAAGUUAUUAGUUCUUGGAUUAACGGACCGAAUUGGUUAUUAAACAAGGAACCCUUUGAUAUGGUAUCUUUUCCGUUGUUAUCACCACAAGACGAUAAGGAAAUUCGUUCUGAAAUUGUUUCACGUAAAACACAAAUUGACAGUCUACAGAUUGACUCUCAACGAUUCAGCAAGUUUUCUAGUUGGAGAUCUCUCGUUAGAUCAUUAUCACUCUUAAGACACAUAGCUAAGACAUUAAGUAGUGCACCUACAUCUCGUUGCAAAGGUUGGCAUAUUUGCGCUGAAAAGGACACUCCAGAAUUUAUCAAGGGUACCGAAACAUUGAUCAUUCGACAAGUACAGAAGGAAUUCUUUGAACACGAAAUAGAUUCUUUAAAUACCGACCAGAAUGUUCCCAAAAAUAGUGCGAUUUUAAAACUUGACCCAAUACUGGAUGCACAUGGUAUCUUGCGAGUAGGAGGUAGAUUGAAUCGCUCUACAUUGACACUUGGUGAAAAGAAUCCUAUUUUAAUUCCUGGUAAACACCAUAUUGCGAGAUUACUAGUGUUACAUUACCACGAUAAAGUCCACCAUCAGGGACGUCAUAUUACCGAGGGCGCAAUCAGGACUGCUGGUUACUGGAUUACCGGUCUCAAGCGUUUGAUAUACUCAAUUGUUUCAAGUUGCAUUUUAUGCCUAAGGUUUAGAGGUACUUUUUCGUCUCAAAAAAUGGCUGAUCUUCCAGAAGAAAGACUUUUAGCAUGCCCACCAUUUACAUACGUUGGCGUUGAUUGUUUUGGACCCUGGAACAUUGUUACAAGACGGACUCGUGGUGGAAGCGCAAAUUCAAAACGAUGGGCUGUAUUAUUUGUCUGUUUUUCAUGUCGAGGUGUGCAUAUUGAAAUAAUUGAAGAGAUGACUACCGCAUCCUUUAUAAAUUCACUUCGCCGCUUCAUAUCAAUCAGAGGAUAUGUUAAAGAAUUCUUUUCUGAUAGAGGAACCAACUUUAUCGGCGGCGCCCGAGAGCUCGGCAUAGAAGCUAUUUUUGUUGAGGACUCACUGUUUCAAUCAUUCAUGAAAGAACAAAAAACUGUGUGGAAAUUCAAUACACCGUACUCGUCCCAUAUGGGAGGUUCAUGGGAACGUCUCAUUGGCAUAGCAAGACGAAUAUUGGACUCAAUAUUGUUUAAAGCAGGACAUCAUCGACUCACACAUGAAGUCUUGUGUACUUUCAUGGCAGAAACAACAGCUAUUAUGAACGCUCGUCCUUUAGUGCCUAUUUCAUCCGAUCCUAACUCACCAUUUAUCUUAUCUCCAAAUACUUUGCUAACACAGAAAGUAAGUGAAAAUAUUGAGGACUUCAGCCAUUUGAACACGCAUGAUGUUUACACAAAUCAGUGGAAAUUUGUUCAGGUUUUAGCAGACAAAUUUUGGACACGUUGGCGACAAGAAUAUUUGCAGUCGUUACAAACUCGUCGCAAAUGGCAGCACAUCAAACAAAACAUUCAAGUAGGUGAUUUAGUGCUUCUUAAAGACAAUGAACUCCAUCGAAAUAACUGGCCAAUAGGUCUUGUUGAACGUGUUUUUCCCGGUAGAGACAAUUUGAUCCGUAAAGUUCAGUUGAGGGUUGUAAGAGACAAACAACAUCGUGUGUAUGUGCGCCCAAUCAGCCAAAUUGUUUUACUGUGUCAUAGUUGAGACCUUUAUUUAAGAAGUUUAACAAGUAUUUGACUGAAAUGUAGUAUUUUUGAACACUUGUAAGUUUGUUUUGAUAAGAACGUUUUUGCUCUAUGAGUAUGGUGAUAUUUUUCAUAUCAGACGGGGAGUGUGCUGUUUCAUUGUUUCUAUAAUUUGAUAACUUUAUUUUUUGUCUAAUUGUCUUUGUUUACAUUUGUACUUUCAUUUUAGUACUACUUUCACUUUUCAUUCCAGGUAAAUUUACCUUUACUUUUUAUUUUUAUAAUUACCUGUACUUUCAUUUUAAUGAGUACUUUCACUUUCACUUUAAAGAGUUAAUUUCCUGUUUCCUGUGUAUAAUCAUAGAUGUUGUGUACCACAACAAGGUUGACAAAUGUUUUGAAUCUAACUAGAACUUGGUCAUCCUAUGCUGGCAGACCAAUAUCUUUUUACCACACGCACUCACCACAUGUAUGUAACAACUUGAACUGUAUAUUAUAUCAAUAUUAAACAUUAUUGGAUAAGAUUA